CCCUUAGAUGUUCUGGGCCGCACGCGCGCUACACUGAUGCAUUCAACGAGCCUAUCCUUGACCGACAGGUCCGGGUAAUCUUUGAAUCUGCAUCGUGACGGGGAUAGAUUAUUGCAAUUAUUAAUCUUCAACGAGGAAUGCCUAGUAGGCGCAAGUCAUCAGCUUGCGUCGAUUACGUCCCUGCCCUUUGUACACACCGCCCGUCGCUCCUACCGAUUGAACGAUCCGGUGAAUUAUUUGGAGUAGCUCUGGAAGUUGCAGAACUUCCUAUGUCACGAAAUUUUGUAAACCUUAUCGUUUAGAGGAAGGAAAAGUCGUAACA
rnacentral:rRNA from 1 species